UUCACGAGAAAUAAAAAAAAGUUUGUGGUCCCAUAAGCUUCUGUACUGGUUAGUAGAACAAAACGGAGAUCACAAUCUGUCUUACGGCAGACUAUUUUAUGAGGUAUCGGAAACACCCGACUUUUCAGUGUAAGUAAAUUAGAAAAUAAUUGUAAUUGAUGUAAAAAAUGUUCUUUUUUGUCAUUUUGAUUAGCUUCAAGUUAAUUACUAGCGGGAUCUGUUCGUGGCAGCAGGGUGCACUUCAAGCUUCCAAUGCCGUACUUAAGUGAAACAAACCAGCACGAGAGCAUGGUGGAGAGACUGCUGCUGGGCUACUGCUGCUGUUGGGACUAUUGUUGUUGCCGGGACUGUUGUUAAUGCUGCUAGAACUGCUGCCGAAUUGUUGCCUCCAAGCAGUUCCGUGGCAACUUUAGGAGCAUCAAUUACAUUAUGGUCCAACGAUUAACUGGAAGGUUAGGAAAGGUUGCUUCGGCAGAAAAAACAGAACUAAUACGAACAAUUCAGCGUUUGCGAUCGGGCAAGCAAACCUGCACAAUUGAAACGCUGCAUUCAUACACGUGUCCUGACGUCAUACACACGUUCAGGGAAUGAUUCAAUUAAAUGAGAAAACAG